rnacentral:rRNA from 1 species
ACCAGACUCCUACGGGAGGCAGCAGUGGGGAAUAUUGCGCAAUGGGCGAAAGCCUGACGCAGCGACGCCGCGUGAGGGAUGAAGGUCUUCGGAUCGUAAACCUCUGUCAGCAGGGAAGAACGGUCACUGUGCUAAUCAGCAGUGAAUUGACGGUACCUGCAAAGGAAGCACCGGCUAACUCCGUGCCAGCAGCCGCGGUAAUACGUAGGGGGCAAGCGUUAUCCGGAUUUACUGGGUGUAAAGGGAGCGUAGGCGGUUAGAUAAGUCUGAUGUGAAAGCCCGCAGCUUAACUGUGGGAUUGCAUUGGAAACUAUGGAACUAGAGUGUCGGAGAGGUAAGGGGAAUUCCUAGGGUAGCGGUGAAAUGCGUAGAUAUUAGGAGGAACACCAGUGGCGAAGGCGGCUUACUGGACGAUGACUGACGCUGAGGCUCGAAAGCGUGGGGAGCAAACAGGAUUAGAUACCCGUGUAA